UACGAAGGGGGCUAGCGUUGUCCGGAAUUAUUGGGCGUAAAGAGCUCGUAGGCGGUUUGUCGCGUCUGCCGUGAAAGUCCGGGGCUUAACUCCGGAUCUGCGGUGGGUACGGGCAGACUUGAGUGAUGUAGGGGAGACUGGAAUUCCUGGUGUAGCGGUGAAAUGCGCAGAUAUCAGGAGGAACACCGAUGGCGAAGGCAGGUCUCUGGGCUGUAACUGACGCUGAGGAGCGAAAGCAUGGGGAGCAAACAGG
rnacentral:rRNA from 1 species